rnacentral:rRNA from 1 species
CCUACGGGCUGCACCAGUGGGGAAUAUUGCACAAUGGGCGCAAGCCCGAUGCAGCCAUGCCGCGUGUAUGAAGAAGGCCUUCGGGUUGUAAAGUACUUUCAGCGGGGAGGAAGGUGUUGAGGUUAAUAACCUCAGCAAUUGACGUUACCCGCAGAAGAAGCACCGGCUAACUCCGUGCCAGCAGCCGCGGUAAUACGGAGGGUGCAAGCGUUAAUCGGAAUUACUGGGCGUAAAGCGCACGCAGGCGGUCUGUCAAGUAGGAUGUGAAAUCCCCGGGCUCAACCUGGGAACUGCAUUCGAAACUGGCAGGCUAGAGUCUUGUAGAGGGGGGCAGAAUUCCAGGUGUAGCGGUGAAAUGCGUAGAGAUCUGGAGGAAUACCGGUGGCGAAGGCGGCCCCCUGGACAAAGACUGACGCUCAGGUGUGAAAGCGUGGGGAGCAAACAGGAUUAGAUACCCUCGUAGUC